CCCUGUGAACAUACCAAUUGUUGCCUCGGCGGAUCAGCCCGCUCCCGGUAAAACGGGACGGCCCGCCAGAGGACCCCUAAACUCUGUUUCUAUAUGUAACUUCUGAGUAAAACCAUAAAUAAAUCAAAACUUUCAACAACGGAUCUCUUGGUUCUGGCAUCGAUGAAGAACGCAGCAAAAUGCGAUAAGUAAUGUGAAUUGCAGAAUUCAGUGAAUCAUCGAAUCUUUGAACGCACAUUGCGCCCGCCAGUAUUCUGGCGGGCAUGCCUGUUCGAGCGUCAUUUCAACCCUCAAGCCCCCGGGUUUGGUGUUGGGGAUCGGCGAGCCCUUGCGGCAAGCCGGCCCCGAAAUCUAGUGGCGGUCUCGCUGCAGCUUCCAUUGCGUAGUAGUAAAACCCUCGCAACUGGUACGCGGCGCGGCCAAGCCGUUAAACCCCCAACUUCUGAAUGUUGACCUCGGAUCAGGUAGGAAUACCCGCUG
rnacentral:rRNA from 1 species